rnacentral:tRNA from 1 species
GGGGAUUUAACUCAGCAGCAUAAGUGCCUGCCUUGAAAGCAGGCAGUCGUGAGUUCAAUCCCUG